ensembl:lncRNA
AUGUUUACAAGAAGAAGCAGCUCAAGUGGAAACCAGCUGCUGGAGAUACAGAGCUCAUAUACACUGAUAUCUCUCAUGAGAAAAAGAGUGAAAAGAAGAAUACAGAAUAUUUCCCUGAUGCUGAUGUGGAAUAUGCAGCGGUCCAACUGCAGACAAAGAGAAGGGAAGAGAAGGAGGAAAAGAAGGAGGAGGAGGAAGAGGAGGAGAAGGAGGUGGUGGAAGAGAAGGAGGAGGAAGAGGAGAAGGAGGAGGUGGAAGAGAAGGAGGAGGUGGAAGAGAAGGAGGAGGAAGAGGUUGAAGAAAAGAAGGAGGAGGAGGUGGAGGAGAAGGAGGAAGUGGAAGAGAAGGAGGAGGAAGAGGAGGAGGAGGUUCAGUAUGGUGAGAUAAUGUUCACACCGAACCACUCAAACAAUCCGCAGGAGCUUCAGGAGCAGUGUGUUUUCUAGGGGUGUAACAGUUCACGGAAAAAAAAAAAACGUACGGUUCGGCACACACUCAUACCACAGUUCAACUUUAAUCUGACAAGGCAUCUGUAAUAUGGUUUGAUAAAAAUAAAAAAUAAAAAUUGGCUAAUGUUUCUGUCA